UAAUAUGACUUGAUGCCAUGUGUAUGACUCAAUAUAAAAACUAGAACCGCAACAGAUCUUAAAAGCAUAAGUAUUGUAUCAUUGUUAGAAGAUACAAUGACGAAGACUCAUAUGGACUUCGGCUACACCAUCAAAGCUUUGAGAAGCAAGAAGGAGCUUGGUUAGUGGUUCGGAGUCGAAUAUAAC
rnacentral:sRNA from 1 species